GCCGCCGCCGACGCAAGCGCCGCCUCCGCAUAGAACCCCCACUCCAACCUCUCCGUCGCUCAGGCCCGCCGCCUCCACUCGACCCCAACGCGCCCCGCCUCCCCGACUCGACCUUCGCCCUCGUCGGUUCUCGCCUCAACUUCCACAACCGCGUUCAGUCUCUCAUACGCGCCAACGACCUCGACGCCGCCUCUGCAGUGGCGCGUCACUCCGUCUUCUCCAACACGCGCCCCACCG
rnacentral:lncRNA from 1 species